rnacentral:lncRNA from 1 species
GACUUUCUCAUGCUCUCUUCCCACAAGCCAACAGUUCCAAAGCCGUGAGAUUUCUGCUUCUGCCAACCUAGAGCUGAACGGUGCACCAUCUCAGUGACAGCUUCCUUGCAGGCUGACCUACUUUGACCAAUGACUUUCAGGAUUGUCCUCCUCCAAGCCAACUGCCACAUGUGAACGCUAGCCUGCUGGAAAGGGCACACGGAGAAUAGUGGUGUCAUGAGUGAUAGCCCCAACCAGUGACCAGUUGAGUGAUGGAAGCCACCUUCCACAGGCAAGCCAAUGAACCAAAAAUUUGAGUGAGUUCAGCCUAAAUUGCUUGAAGCAGAGAUGAACCACCAUGGUGAGCCUUGACCAAGUUGUCACCCAUAGAACUGUGAAAAAUUAAGUGAUUCGUGUUUAUUUAUGUGUAAGUGGAGGGAAGCAUGUGCCUGGUGCACAUAGGUAGAGAUAAGAGAACAAUGAACGUUAGUGCUGGUCCUCAGGCACUUUGGGUCUUUCAUUGGCCUAGAACUUUCCAGGCACAUAAGGCUAACCAGCCCAUGAGGCUACCAGGGCUCUGUCUGUCUCCUGUCUCCCAUCCUGCUGAUUCUGGGACCACAGAUGUAUCCCGCUAUACUUGGCUUUUUAUGUGGAUUCUAGGGGCCAGAACUCAUAUCCUCAGAUCUGCAAGGCUUGGUUGACUGAGCCAUAAUCCCAGCGCUGGCUAUAAUGAAUCUUUUGUUUGUUUGUGAGCCCAGCCUGCAAGGGCUGAGCCAUCUCCCAUGCCUUGCUUAUUUCGUGUUUUGUUUUUAGCUACUGAGUUUUGGGGGAUGAUUUCCUCUAAUACCUAUUGACUAUUUCCAACGCGCUAAAAAACAGAGCUGAGUCUUAAGUACAGUCUCAUUAGUCCCUGUGACAAGCACGUCAUAGAUUUAUUAAUCCUAAUCUCUGCUCUUAGAGAGGACGAUACUGAUGCCAAGAAAAAGGGGUUGGGCGUUCAAGGUCAAAGAACAGGUGGGCAAGGGAAUAGGAGCUGGCGAGCAGGCUGUGCCAGAUGCAAGUCAAGUCCACAGUCAAGUCCUGAUGUCACCCACAGAACCCAAACGAUCCCGUUCUUGCUUUCAUCCAGUUCAUGGUUUGUGCAAGAGACUAAUAAGGAAGAGACAGAAAUCAACAUGAAUAGAUACAAUGCUCUGAGAUAGGCAGGUGUUUGUUUGGUGAGGUCACAGGGCCAGAAAUGUGGAGCAGUGAGCUGAGAACAUAUUCCUAUAAGGUCUACGAGGUCAGGGCUGGGUCAGGCUUCCGUCAGCAGCAAAGUUAGACAGUGGUUGGGCUAGACUUGUUCCAAGGCUUGAAUGGUCCACAGUCCCCCACUAAUAUCCUGGAAAUACUGCACCAGAGGGUGGAGGUCCUGGAUCUGAGGCUGUAUCCAUGAUGAAUAGCUUGAUCCUAGAGGCCUCUUCUCCACUCUUCACAGAGUUCCGUCCCAGAGAAUGUUCCCUGGAGUCCCUCAUGGUCACCUAUGUUCCUUUAGGUUUUAUUUAGUUUCAAAUUGAGUAUGCGUCCAGAUUCGAUGGACAACGUCUAAGUAUACUACUAUAAAUGGUGACAACCAUAAUAAUGCAUAUGCUUUCAAAUGCAGGUAGCGAAUGACUAGAUAGUCAUAGAUCUCAUGUUACCCUGCUCCAGGGCCCUCGGAGGCUGUCCCUCCAUUUUAGUCUCUUUCUGACGUCCUUGCUCAAGGGGCUUUCGGGACAGGGGUACGCAGAGUUCCCUCUUGCUGAGUCAGCGCUUGUGGUGCAGACCGCCUGUAAGCACAGGUAACCAUUUCCUCUCUGGAUUCCUUCUUUUCUUCCAAAUAUGGUUGAAGGCCCGUUGUGGGAGGCUCUAAGCACUGCUUGAUUUAGACCUGGAAAAAAAAAAAAAACAAAAAACCAAAGAAUUUAUGUUUGGCUGGUCGCCUGGCAUUCUACAGUUUG